rnacentral:rRNA from 1 species
GGAUCGGCCACAUUGGGACUGAGACACGGCCCAGACUCCUACGGGAGGCAGCAGUGGGGAAUAUUGCACAAUGGAGGAAACUCUGAUGCAGCGAUGCCGCGUGAGGGAAGAAGGUUUUAGGAUUGUAAACCUCUGUCUUCAGGGACGAAAAAAGACGGUACCUGAGGAGGAAGCCCCGGCUAACUACGUGCCAGCAGCCGCGGUAAUACGUAGGGAGCGAGCGUUGUCCGGAAUUACUGGGUGUAAAGGGAGCGUAGGCGGGAUCGCAAGUCAGAUGUGAAAACUAUGGGCUUAACCCAUAAACUGCAUUUGAAACUGUGGUUCUUGAGUGAAGUAGAGGUAAGCGGAAUUCCUAGUGUAGCGGUGAAAUGCGUAGAUAUUAGGAGGAACAUCAGUGGCGAAGGCGGCUUACUGGGCUUUAACUGACGCUGAGGCUCGAAAGCGUGGGGAGCAAACAGGAUUAGAUACCCUGGUAGUCCACGCCGUAAACGAUGAUUACUAGGUGUGGGGGGACUGACCCCUUCCGUGCCGCAGCAAACGCAAUAAGUAAUCCACCUGGGGAGUACGACCGCAAGGUUGAAACUCAAAGGAAUUGACGGGGGCCCGCACAAGCAGUGGAGUAUGUGGAUUAAUUCGAAGCAACGCGAAGAACCUUACCAGGUCUUGACAUCGUAUGCAUAGCUCAGAGAUGAGUGAAAUCUCUUCGGAGACAUAUAGACAGGUGGUGCAUGGUUGUCGUCAGCUCGUGUCGUGAGAUGUUGGGUUAAGUCCCGCAACGAGCGCAACCCUUACUGUUAGUUGCUACGCAAGAGCACUCUAGCAGGACUGCCGUUGACAAAACGGAGGAAGGUGGGGAUGACGUCAAAUCAUCAUGCCCCUUAUGACCUGGGCCUCACACGUACUACAAUGGCUGUCAACAGAGGGAAGCAAAGCCGCGAGGUGGAGCGAACCCCUAAAAGCAGUCUUAGUUCGGAUUGUAGGCUGCAACCCGCCUACAUGAAGUCGGAAUUGCUAGUAAUCGCAGAUCAGCAUGCUGCGGUGAAUACGUUCCCGGGCCUUGUACACACCGCCCGUCACGCCAUGGGAGUCGGUAACACCCGAAGCCUGUAGUCUAACCGCAAGGAGGACGCAGUCGAAGGUGGGAUUGAUGACUGGGGUGAAGUCGAAACAAGGUAGCCGUAUCGGAGGUGCGGCUG